rnacentral:piRNA from 1 species
UAGAAGGCAGAGGUGAAGGUUGCUGAU